CAGUAAACCAACUUCGUAUUGUCUCUAUCCACUCCAUACUUGUGUGGUUCUAUAUAAGUGUAGUAAUUUAACAAAAAGUCAUCCACGAAAUUUCUUAAAUUUUAUCAGACAACGAACGACGACCGAUCGCUUUCAUUACUUAUUGUCAGAAAUGAUGGAAGGGAGACCUCGAUGGAUUUUCAUUGUCUUGAACGGCCGCUUUGUGUCAGUUCACAAAGCCCCUCUCUGUGUUAUCGGGGACAUUGACGAUAUCCCUUAAGAUUCUUUCCACAAAAAACUUGAGCAAUUUUCAUCCCACGCCAUUUCCCAUUAGGCCAACCAGAAACCGCAGGAAAAUGUCUUUGUAUUCAUUAUGCAUAUAAGUUAUCCUCUUACGUUGGUAUGGCAAGAAAGAAAAAAAAAAAGGAGAGAAUGAUAAUGCAAAGUAAUUUGCCAAACCACGAUAUAGACGGUACCUGAUACAUCAGAUGGGAAAUAUGUUCAAGUAGACAUUGAGACGUGACUGACCAAAGUUAUAGGGGCUUAAAGGUUAUGAGGGCGAAUUCACAUGCAAACGAUGAAAGAGGACGGAAUCAUUGCUAUGGGAGAGAUCGAUGUACACGCACAGAGGCGUAGAUAGUUCAGCCUCGAGGGUACUUCUAUACAGAUGGCUUCUCGGUGAGUAGAUAUAAGCCUGGUAUAUACAGUAUAUGGAUACACGACUAGACAGUCAAAAGUAACUGGUAUACAGGGUGAACGAAUUAAAGCACAGCAACACCCGAAGCACACCCCCAGAGAGCACUUUGACGUCGUGACCGAAGACGCCUCCGGGCUACGGUACAGACAAGAAUCUUGUUAUCUAUAGACGACAUCAUUGCUUCCAAUCCAUUUCAGUAAAAUGAUAAAGCUUUAUUUAUUUUCCAGCUUCUUCACUAUUCGGAAAGACGCAGAAUAAAGUUCUUCAGUCCUGAGCGACAUUGGGGUAUAGAGAGUCCAGGUUUAUUGCCUGGAAUUAUUAAAAAUCAUUAGGAAUUAAUUUGAGCAAUUUUUCAGCUAAUAUUUCAAUUAAUCGAGUGGAAAGAUACCUUACGUGGUCAGCCUUGAUGAGAAUUUCGAGCUGGACCAAAAUACGCAAACACUGCAGUAAUUACAGUGGGUAGUGUUAACCUCUGCCGCCUUCGACCUAUAAACUCCUACAGUGCUGCACGUGACACGCAAAGCGUGUGGUUUUGUAUGUACAGAGGGAAAAUCAAGGGCUUUGCCAGAACGUAACUCGCCGCUGUGUACUAAUCCGGACGUUAUUGGAAAUCCCUUGUAAAACUAAACAAGCAUUGAUAUGGAGAAUUAUGUAUGAUACUCGUGGGUGGUUCAAAGUGUAGCCAACUGCGCAACACCAAAUUCUGCGGAUUUCAAGAGAACCUGUAGUAAGCUGAGUAUAAGAUCCUUCCCGUCAGGAAAUACGGGGCUACCGUAUACAGAUGCAGCAACGUUAAAAGAAAAUCGCGAUGGAGCGAAGAGAAAGACGCAUUGCGAUGAUUGCUUGAUAAAUAUUUAUAAGUUUUGAAAAUUCCGAAAAAACUAUAUAUACUAUUUAUCAGGCACUUGCGACUCACGGCAGAUUCAUUUCAAAGCGUCGAAACUUUCUGGAUAGUCGUUGAGAAGCGAAACGAUGGAACGAAUGGGAAAAUUGUGUCGAGCGAAAAUUUCAUCUGUAAAUCAACUUCGUCGACCAGCAUCCGACGCAUCCGGCAAAUCAGAGAGAACCGCAGGGUGUAUGGUAAUGAGUGCGCUGAAACUCACUGGCAGUUGACUUGGAUCAGAAAUUGCGCAACUCGGUCUGUGCUGUUGUUGGAAUUUUGGCUGAUACGGUUCCAGCAUGCGAAUUUUACC